UACGUAGGGUGCAAGCGUUGUCCGGAAUUAUUGGGCGUAAAGAGCUCGUAGGCGGUCUGUCGCGUCUGCUGUGAAAACUCGGGGCUUAACCCCGGGCCUGCAGUGGGUACGGGCAGACUAGAGUGCGGUAGGGGAGACUGGAAUUCCUGGUGUAGCGGUGAAAUGCGCAGAUAUCAGGAGGAACACCAGUGGCGAAGGCGGUGCUCUGGGCCGGAACUGACGCUGAGGAGCGAAAGCGUGGGGAGCAAACAGG
rnacentral:rRNA from 1 species